rnacentral:rRNA from 1 species
GACGAACGCUGGCGGCGUGCUUAACACAUGCAAGUCGAACGGAAAGGCCCUGCUUUUGUGGGGUGCUCGAGUGGCGAACGGGUGAGUAACACGUGAGUAACCUGCCCUUGACUUUGGGAUAACUUCAGGAAACUGGGGCUAAUACCGGAUAGGAGCUCCUGCUGCAUGGUGGGGGUUGGAAAGUUUGGGCGGUUGGGGAUGGACUCGCGGCGGAUCAGCUUGUUGGUGGGGUAGAGGCUUACCAAGGCGUUGACCGGUAGCCGGCCUGAGAGGGUGAUCAGUAACACUGGAACUGAGACAAGGUGCAGAGUACUAAGGGAGGCAGCAGUGGGGAAUAUUGGACAAUGGGCGAAAGCCGGAUCCAGGCAUGCCGCGUGUGUGAAGAAGGUCUGAGGAUUGUAAAGAAGUUUAAGUUGGGAGAAAGGGCAGUAAGUUAAUACAUUGCUGUUUUGACGUUACCAACAGAAUAAGCACCGGAUAACUUCGUG